CUGCCUCUCACCUUCACUGUACUUGCUGGAUUGAUGUGCUGCUUGCUUUAGUCCUUUAAAUGAAUUAGUUGGUGGGGAGUAAUGAGAUAAUUUGUGAUGUACGGGGUGGUGGCAGCACCUGUGACAAACGCAUCACCCCGGGGCUGGGAACAGGAGGGGCUGAGCGUUGCUUCCCGAACACGCUGCAGCUCCCGGCUCGCUGUCGGACCGUUACCAUAGCAAACAGCCUCCCUCUCCCCCAGCCCUCCGGCUGUACCAUCAGCACAUCGGUAUUUCUGCACGAGCACACAGGAAGGGAGCGAGGAGACGUUGCAGGGGCAGCGCCGCCGCCGUGGGCUCCGGAGGAUCUCCGGGUGUUCGUCUUUUAGCCCAUCGGUUCUCGAAUGUGACCUGGAGUGCCUCUGAGACGUCACAAAUGACCGCAGGAGGUGGCUUGCACCUUCUGUGGCCAGGAGCUGAAGCAACAAGCAGUGCCUUGCUCAGGAUGUACUGUGAUAGCAUCAGGAGACACUGA
rnacentral:lncRNA from 1 species